rnacentral:rRNA from 1 species
UACAGAGGGUGCAAGCGUUGUUCGGAAUUAUUGGGCGUAAAGGGCGCGUAGGCGGUUUGUUGCGUCGGCUGUGAAAUCCCGAGGCUCAACCUCGGGUCUGCAGUCGAUACGAGCAAACUAGAGUGUUGCAGGGGAGACUGGAAUUCCUGGUGUAGCGGUGGAAUGCGCAGAUAUCAGGAGGAACACCGGUGGCGAAGGCGGGUCUCUGGGCAGUAACUGACGCUGAGGAGCGAAAGCGUGGGUAGCGAACAGG